rnacentral:misc_RNA from 1 species
GUGAAUCAUCGAAUCUUUGAACGCACAUUGCACUCCUUGGUAUUCCGAGGAGUAUGCCUGUUUCAGUAUCAUGAGCACUCUCACACCUAACCUUUGGGUUUAUGGCGUGGAAUUGGAAUGCGCCGACUGUCAUGGUUGGCCCUUCUAAAAUGUAGUUCUUGGCUGUCACCUAAUACAGCAGUUUGGCCUAAUAGUUUUGGCAUUCAUUGUCAAAUCUUUGGCUAACAUUUGCUCCAGGAGUCAGUCUUGAUAAUACAGAAAACUCAUUCAAAUUUUGAUCUGAAAUCAGGUAGGGCUACCCGCUGAACUUAA